rnacentral:rRNA from 1 species
ACGAACGCUGGCGGCGUGCUUAACACCUGCAAGUCGCACGGAAAGGCCCUGCUUUUGUGGGGUGCUCGAGUGGCGAACGGGUGAGUAACACGUGAGUAACCUGCCCUUGACUUUGGGAUAACUUCAGGAAACUGGGGCUAAUACCGGAUAGGAGCUCCUGCUGCAUGGUGGGGGUUGGAAAGUUUCGGCGGUUGGGGAUGGACUCGCGGCUUAUCAGCUUGUUGGUGGGGUAGUGGCUUACCAAGGCUUUGACGGGUAGCCGGCCUGAGAGGGUGACCGGCCACAUUGGGACUGAGAUACGGCCCAGACUCCUACGGGAGGCAGCAGUGGGGAAUAUUGCACAAUGGGCGGAAGCCUGAUGCAGCAACGCCGCGUGCGGGAUGACGGCCUUCGGGUUGUAGACCGCUUUCGCCUGUGACGAAGCGUGAGUGACGGUAAUGGGUAAAGAAGCACCGGCUAACUACGUG